AUAUUAAAGUUGUUGCAGUUAAAAAGCUCGUAGUUGGAUUGGUGUUGGUUAUGUUUCUCUGGGAAAUUCUCAAAGCGACGUUAACCAAUAUAUUUGGGAUUUGGUCUAGAAUGGCAUUAAGUUGUUGAUUUAGUUCCAGCCCAUCGUUUACUGUGAAAAAAUUAGAGUGUUUAAAGCAGGUUUUAUAACCGUUGAAUACAUUAGCAUGGAAUAAUAAUAUAUGACUCGUAUGGUCUAUUUUGUUGGUUUGCACGUAUGAGUAAUGAUUAAUAGGGACAGUUGGGGGUAUUCAUAUUUGAGCGUCAGAGGUGAAAUUCUUGGAUCGCUGAAAGAUGAGCUAAGGCGAAAGCAUUUACCAAGGAUGUUUUCAUUAAUCAAGAACGAAAGUUAGGGGAUCGAAGAUGAUUAGAUACCAUCGUAGUCUUAACCAUAAACUAUGCCGACUCGGGAUUGUGUUUAGGGAUUAAACCGAACGCAGCACCGUAUGAGAAAUCAAAGUCUUUGGGUUCCGGGGGGAGUAUAGUCACAAGGCUUAAA
rnacentral:rRNA from 1 species